CUCUCUCUCUCUCUCUCUCUCUCUCUCUCUCUCUCUCUCUCUCCACCACCCGUCGUGUGCAUAGCUCGUAGUGUACGCGAGAGCGCGUUAUCGAUUUUUUCGGAACGAACGACUCUUGCCAUUUUGUAUUAAUCCGAAUCGCUCGGAACCGCGCGCACGCGACAAGUAAUUAAUACCCCGAAGUAUGUAGUUAAUUAAUCCCCGCGAUCGGGACUCUCGUCGUUGCCGUCGAGGUCGAGAGAGACCGAGACGUAGAGUGAACUGUGUAGCGGUAAUAUUCUAAUGAGCGCCGCCGCGCGCUCGCGUCAAGCGAUCCGAAAGAAUCAGGCACAAUGUAAGGAAUAAGGAACGAGGAAUUAAGUAUAGGGAAUUAUAUAUAUAUAUAUAUUUAGUCGACCAGUCGCAUUGAUCAGGCUAAUUCACCAAUGCGAUUGGUCAAUUUCGUUGAGCCAAUGGAUUAGAUUUAAAUUAUGAUGGUAGAAACGGACAUUGGACAUUUUAAAGGUUAACAAUUAGCCAACUACUAGCCCUGUAAGCACACAAUUAUAAAGAACAGAACUUCGGUAGUGUUCCUAAUCCUAGUUUUCUAUUCUUUUGUCGUGGGCUGAAGUAAGCUGUCCACACGUCGAAAUUUAAUUCUUUGUCCCUCUAAUUCUCUGUUCCUAUUUAAUUCUUUGUUCCUUGUGCCUCUCAUUGUGACUGAGCCCUAAAUAACACGAUUCUCACAUUUGCGCGGUAGGAUUUUUUAUGAUGAUCCUCGGUCAGAGGAGACACAAAGACUCGCGCGUUCGCGGCGACAGGGUAGAAUCGUCUCUCAAACGAGCGGAGUAGCGACGUACGGGGCCGCCCGAUUCCCGGCGAUUCGCCGCGAGGGGUUUGGCGGUGUGUCGCUUGGCUCGUGUGUAACUCGCCAUCGGGCGCCAUCGCGGCUAGAAUAACGCGCCCGUGAUUAAAACGUUCAGUCCGAUUCUCCCCACGCGGAACCGCAGGUGGACUCGCGAUCGUCCGCCGGCCGGGCGCACGAAACGUAUUAGCCUGCGUUUUGUUACGGAUCCUAGACUAAGCGGAACCUAGUAGUCGCGCUAAAGUUAAGGGAGAUUAAUAAGUGUUAUCUCGUUUAAUGUUACACACAGGUGUGUCGUGCGGGCGAAAGGUGUCAAGCGGUCGAAUCGGGCACGAAGGGCAACAUAUCAACGCGACAGAAAAAACUUGGUUACAUGAACGGAAUUGCUUUUAUUAUGUACAACGUUACGUCGUGCCAUAUAAAGUACUGCGACGCACGGAUGAGAUUGCGUUUACGGCGGUAACUUGAACGAGAAGAGGGAGAAUUGUCUCGUGAAGAACGCACAUUUCCCGGGAGCUACUCGAUAUUCAAAGUAGCAAUCACUAAAUGUCAAUCUCGUCGCGUCUCACCUCGCUUAGGUAAGUAGGUUUAAACGAACGGUAUAUUCUAACUCGGAAGAGUGCGACAUCGUUCGAUCGCAAUUAAAUUGUAAGUACACGAAGAAAACAAUUGUGAUUAAAUUUGUCUGCGGACCAAACGAAAACUCGAUUGUAAGAAAAAUUACUAUAAGAGUUUUCUACUCGGUCAAUUGCUCUCAAUCGUCUCAUUCAAGUUUUAACGCAGCUGAAUAUUCACACACACGAAUAUUAUCAUGCCCGUUUCUACCAUAUUAUGGUUUUAAACUAAUCGACGAUCAAUUCAAUGGAAUUGACCAAUCGCAUUUAUCAGUUCGGUUAAUUGGCCAAUGGCGAUUGGUCAAUUCCGUUGCGUUAAUCGUCGAUUAGAUUUAAAUCAUGAUGGUAAAAACGGGCAUCAAUUGUGGUAGCAGAAAUAUCAUUUCUCGUCAUCGAUAUUUCACUUCUUGUCACCGAGUUCUCAUCUGGUCCCAUUCAGUGGCAGGAACUGAAUUUCUUCCGUGUAAUAUCGAUUGAAUCGAGGUUAGUUAUUCAGUUUAGGGGAGUCAGCUUCAAUGGUUUUGACUUUGAGAUAUGCUAUCAAGGACAUUACCUUGAGGAUUAUUUAAAAGAAUUUAGCUGUCAAGAAUUUAGCUGUGAUUGUUUAUUGAAAAGAUAUAAUCGAAAGAAGUUUUAUAAAUAUAAUGUAAUUUUCUGACACGGUAUAUAUUAAAAAAUAGGUAGUGUUUAAUCUAUAUUACGUAGUGUCGAAAACGUAACAUUUGACAAAAGAACAAAAGGGUAAAGUUAGAUUAACUUUUACAAAUGGGAGAACUAUGCAUAUACAUGUAUUAUUUUACUUAUACACUUCGGUUCUUCAUAAGCUUCACAAACUCCCUACAUCACCUAUUUUUUAAAUAUAUAUAGUAUCGAAAAACAUCAUAUUGUUUAUGAAACUUCUUUUGUUAAUAUUUUUUUAUAAACAAUGACAGUUAAAAUCAAUAGGUUACUUAGAACCAUGACUUCAACCAGGGUUGCCACAGACCUGGAAAACCGGAAAGUCAUAAAAAUUUAAAAUUCCAAGGAAAACCUGAAAAAGUCGGGGAAGUAUAUAGAAAAGUCUGGAAUUUUAAACUUUGCUCACAGUGUCUUUAAAUAUUCUUAGCAUCCUUUUUUCCAAUAAUUAUUUUUUUGUUGGCCUGAAUUUACACUCAGGAUGAUAUUAAUUAUAUUAUGUUACUAAACUUUCAAGUCUGUGUUGAUUCUAAUAACAUAAACUACCUUUCCUGUAAUCCCUGCUUCUAAACGUUCACAAGUUUAAGAUUAUAUCAUUCAUGAAAAAUUCUCCACUCGUCUGAAAAGUCGAAGGAUAUCAAAAUUCAUUUUCUGUGGCAACUCUUCUUCAACAAUAUGUAUCAAUGUCAAGGUCGUUGGAGCUGACUCUCCUGAACUGAAUAAUUCCCGAAUCGAGCGUAUGCGAUGCGAUCGACAUGGAUCUCGCGCUUCCAGGAAUGCAAAAUUGCCAGCGCAAUCUCAUAUCCGGCUCGUGGUGCAGCAGUUUUUUCAACGCCUCAUAUGCGUGUUUUACGAUUUUCGAGUUCAUUGUGACUUGCCGAGAGAGAGAGGCUCGCAGAGCGAGGAUCGCAGGGAACGACGAUAAUAAUAAAUAGGGUCGAAGAAGUGUGUGGUGGUGGUGGUGGUGCUGCGUGUGAGGUCUCGUGUACGCAGACGGGAGGACGAAGGGAAGACUGCUAGGAUAUAAAAACGUUCCCAGGUCCGAUGUUUAACCCGUGUUUAACCAGCAGCAAUAAACUCGCUCACUUACGGCUCGUCACGGAUCGAGCCGGCGUCCGGACGAUCGACGGCCGAUCGUCGUCCGCCACGAAGGCGAACGGAAGCGAAACGUUUAUGUCCUAGUGAUGCGCGCGUGCGGAACAAGGAGUACCGUCUCGGUGGCACAUUGGAAAGGCAUAUAUUAUCUGUAUUCCGUGAAAUAAUAAAUAUUAUCUUAUUUUA